UUAUAAUAAUUAACAAUUAUAAAACGAAACUAAUUUAAUAGAUAUAUGUUAGAUGGGAUACCGAAUAUUUUCCAUACAUAUAUCGACAUUAAUUAGAACAGUUAACCUCGGUCUUCGUAUUGAAUUAAAGUUCAUAGCUUUAAUCGAGUUAAUUGCCGAGGUAUUCGUUGAAAAUUAAAAUUUGCACGUGGGCGUCGAGUCAAUAGUAUGCAAGUAGUUCGGGUUAUAUCUUAUCAAUAUGCAAUAGUUGUUGUUGUUUUCGUUAAGUAAAGAUUACUUAGAGAUAUAGUUUGAGACACAUGUUAAAAUGAGAAAUAUAGACAACAAAAAUUGUUAAUCGUUAUUAUUGUGAUCAGUAUAGUGGUACCUGGCAGUGGAUAAUUUCCAGAGCUUCUCGUGGAUCUCUGGAAAUACACCUGGGACACUUUGGAAUUCACAAAUUUUACAAAUUAUUCUUUUAACAAGAAAACAUAAAAUCCAUGCAGUAAAAAUGUAUAAGAUUUUCCGUAAUACAAUCUGCCAGUUUCUCUGUUUUAUUUCUGUUAAUAAAACUAUUCUACUAGCACCUAUAGUUUAUUGAAAUAUAAAAAGUUGUUAAUUUA